CAAUGUCAGAUCGUUUACGUGAUCACAUCUAAUAUAUUAUUUGCACGUAUCUUUAAGUUAUUACUUAGUUUGUAAAAUGCAUUGGGCUGUCUGUGGUCUGUACAGUUGUGGAUUGAUACUUUAUUUAGCGACAAGGUAUUAUUACGAAAAUGAAUUUAAACACGCUGAUCCCGAUAGUGAUAUUGACGGUUGUUUUUGCAGAGGCCAGUAUAUUAAAGAAGAAAUCCCUGAUAAGUCCAAUGUCACCAGAUCGCUGUUACACAUGCAAGAUGGGAGAUAAACCUCUCGCCUGGCCGAUCAUAUCAUACAUGAGCAAGUUGAAAGACACCGUCCUACGCGGAUUCAGCGCUCUAUCCGAUAAAAUCAAAGUGAAAAAACUAAUUUAAAUGAACAUAUUUUUAUUGAUAUAAAACCUAUUUGUACAUAAUAUUAUAAAAUUUAUUUUAUAGUUAAAUUUUGAUUCACAAUGUUAGUUAUAAGAAUUAAAUUGUCAUAUUAGACAUAUAUUUUAAAAUACAUACAUAUAAAAAUGCAUUUUACAAAGUGUUGAAAACUAUCCCUUAGUUAUUGUAUAUUUUGAGACCGUUACGUAAAUUAAAUUCUAAAGCUGAAUGUUUUCAACUUUAGAGCAAUCAAACUUUCAAGCUAAUAAAAAGUAAUUACCGUUGUUCUAAAUCUUUCUAGAACAUUUAAAAACUUCUAGUCGACUGAAAUGUAGUCCACAUUUACAUAUAAUUUUAUAUUGAUAAAGAAAAAUAUAUCACAAUUAAACUUUGUAAUACAUGAAAAUCACACUGGCUGAAUGAACCGUAAAUAUCUGAUAAUAAAAAAAAAUUAUAAAAGAAAAAAACAAAAGAACACACACUUUAUUAUUUGUUAGCGUUUGAUAUUUGGCACGUUAUUUAUCUCAUUAAUAUUAUAAUUGUUUCAAAAACAAAACUAACCUCAACUUUAUUUAAGAUUUUCAUAACCACAACACUUAAAAUACCCUAUCUGCCCCUACAAAUAAUGUUUUAGAUAAAUAAGAAAUAUAGGAAUUAAUAGUUAGGUAUUUUGUUCAAAGAUUUUCAGUCAUGUUAACUGAAUUUUCUUUUUCCUAUGACUACAGAGAAAAAAUCGUAAAGGUUAAACCUGGACUAUGUGGCACCAAAUUAAGAUAAUUGCUCCUUGAUCAAUUUCUCAAUCAAUUUCUAUCAUUAAUUAAA